rnacentral:tRNA from 1 species
UUAUUUAGUGACUGAAAAGCAAGUAAUGGUCUCUUAAACCAAUUUAUGGUAUAGCACCUACCCUAAAUA